CCCUCGUCCGUUUACAUUCCCUUUACUCUUUCCUUCCUAAUUCACAGUCAAAUGAAUUCUCCACAACAAUUCUCACUAUUCUUAGUGCAAAGAUAUCGUGGUCCACUCACCAAUCUAGAUAGCUCAAGAGCAACAAAACAGUGAUUUUUUUUUUUUUUUUGUCAUAAAGCAGAGAAGCGAGAAAGGAAGAUAUUAAAUCUUUCGGCUAGAGACAAAACAGAAACGAUG